AGAGUUUGAUCCUGGCUCAGGACGAACGCUGGCGGCGUGCUUCACACAUGCAAGUCGAGCGGAAAGGCCCCUUCGGGGUACUCGAGCGGCGAACGGGUGAGUAACACGUGAGUAACCUGCCCUUAGCACCGGGAUAGCUCCGGGAAACCGGAAUUAAUACCGGAUACGAUCACGGUCGGCAUCGACUGUGAUGGAAAGGA
rnacentral:rRNA from 1 species